GCGUGCGAGUGCUCACCUGCUCAUUUAAAUAGGUUUCAGGUAACAGGUGUGAAUAUUCCAUGUAUACUGUACAUCUUGCAGUACAUAAUCACGUACAUAGGCAGUACAAGACCUAAACCUAGGUGUGCUCAGGAUGACUCAUGCAUUGAGAACCACAUUUAAGGGUUUACACCUGUUGGAGUAAAGUCUAAAGAUCUAACCAGACCCAAACCUAGUUUUAGGGUUCUACAGGGAGAUCCAGUAAAAAUGAGAAUUAUUUAAAAAAAAUAAUAAUAUUCAACAGUAGCUUUGAAA